rnacentral:rRNA from 1 species
UACGUAGGGUGCAAGCGUUAAUCGGAAUUACUGGGCGUAAAGCGUGCGCAGGCGGCUCUGCAAGACAGAUGUGAAAUCCCCGGGCUCAACCUGGGAACUGCAUUUGUGACUGCAGGGCUAGAGUACGGUAGAGGGGGAUGGAAUUCCGCGUGUAGCAGUGAAAUGCGUAGAUAUGCGGAGGAACACCGAUGGCGAAGGCAAUCCCCUGGACCUGUACUGACGCUCAUGCACGAAAGCGUGGGGA